GCAAGUCGCACGGGAUCAUUUGAGUAGCAAUAUGAGGAUGGUCCAGUGGCGCACGGGUGAGUAACACGUGAAUGACAUGCCCUUCAGAGGGGGAUAGCCCAGGGAAACUUGGAUUAAUACCCCAUGGUAUCGCAAGAUUAAAGGCGGCCGCAAGGCUGUCGCUGGAGGAUUGGUUCGCGUUCUAUCAGCUUGUUGGCGGGGUAACGGCCCACCAAGGCUACGACGGAUACCUGGUCUGAGAGGACGAUCAGGCACACUGGAACUGAGACACGGUCCAGACACCUACGGGUGGCAGCAGUCGAGAAUAAUUCACAAUGGGGGCAACCCUGAUGGUGCAACGCCGCGUGGAGGAUGAAGGUCUUCGGAUUGUAAACUCCUGUCAUCCGGGAGCAAGACCUGACGGUGAAUAGCCGGCAGGGUUGAUAGUACCGGAAGAGGAAGGGACGGCUAACUUCGUGCCAGCAGCCGCGGUAAUACGAAGGUCCCGAGCGUUGUUCGGAAUCACUGGGCGUAAAGGGAGCGUAGGCGGCGUGGUAAGUCAGACGUGAAAUCCCGGGGCUCAACCCCGGAACUGCGUCCGAUACUGCCGUGCUAGAGGAUUGGAGAGGUAGCUGGAAUUCACGGUGUAGCAGUGAAAUGCGUGGAUAUCGUGAGGAACACUCGUGGCGAAAGCGAGCUACUGGACAACUCCUGACGCUGAGGCUCGAAGGCCAGGGUAGCGAAAGGGAUUAGAUACCCCUGUAGUCCUGGCAGUAAACGGUGUGCGCUUGGUGUGGCGGGAAUCGACCCCUGCCGUGCCGGAGCUAACGCGUUAAGCGCACCGCCUGGGAAGUACGGUCGCAAGACUAANACUCAAAGAAAUUGACGGGGACCCGCACAAGCGGUGGAGUAUGUGGCUUAAUUCGAUGCAUCGCGAAGAACCUUACAAGGCUUGACAUGCAUCUCUAAGCGCGUGAAAGCGCGU
rnacentral:rRNA from 1 species